CCGCUUCCGGAGCUGCGCGGCUCGUCCAGCGCCGCUGCUCGGCAUCGCUGGUCCCGCACGGCGGCGGCCGGGCCUUGCGCAAGAGGUGGUGUUCACCUUCCUGGGAAGGCCAAGGAGCGCUUGCAAAGAGCAAGUCUGGAGCCUGGGCAUCCGGCCUGGGGCGGGACGGGACGCGCUUUCCUGGCUGUGCGUUGACCGACAGGGGGACGUUGACCGGCAGGGCUUGCCCCGGCUCAGGAACGAGAGCGUUCAACUUGUAGAUUGCUCCCCAAGGACUCCCUCCCCCAGCUUUUGAAAGUUGAUGGAGUUCUGCCCAUCUUCUUGCCCCAGACUGCUGUCUGUAGGAGCUUGUCUGCAGCCAGUGAGUCUAUAGGACGCCAGCCCGGGUGCCCAUGUGCAGUGACUUCAGUUAAGUGGUGUGAGUAAUCCAGAGCACACCCACAUGCAGCCUGUGUGGUCCUGUUUCAGUGCAGUGUCCCCAUCUGCUUUUAGCCUGCAGAUGUCCCAGCGAUCCCAACGUCAGUGCCAUCAUCCCUGAAACACCUCCAGCCCCAUGCUGGUACCCAGAGUACUUACGUCUUCGAUGCUCUAUCUGCAGGUGAGACAUGGGGAAGAAGAAAUCCACCUCAUGCUGGAAAACCUCCUCAAAGAACUUCUGCCGGUCCCGUAGCUUCAGCUGCUGCUGUUGCAUCUGCUCUGCAUCCAGGUUCCGCUGUGCCUGCUCCAUGUCUCCUGGGGAGAAAGCCAGAGCGCUGCCUUCCAGCCCAGCUGUGCCAAAUCCAUGGCAAACUGCCACAGUUCACCAGCCUGAAGAGAGCUCAACAGGCUCAAGGCAGAGGCUUUACUGACUCCCAAAGCCAGGGUGACAGACCGGUUCUCCAUGCAUCAUCCUGCCAAAAGGACCCUGAUGUGGAGCCCUAGGAGAAGAUCCUAAUAUGGAGCAGGGACAAGCCGUGUGGAGAUGGGCUGCCUGGACACACUGACUGCCUGAGUGUUCCCUGGCAGUCUCUUCUGGACCGGCAUUCCUGACCUCGUGUUGCAGCGUAGCAGAAAAUAACCACGGCCCCGGUGAGAGGAAAUGCACCAGGCGAGUGUGAGGACGGCAGCGGUUUUGGCAGAGAUGCUUCUGGGAAAAGCUGGAGGGAGGGGGAGCUCCAGAGGGAGGGCAUGGCACCUUGUAACCCCCCUGUCAGCGCCGCGGCUGCAUCGCCUGCACCGCUCAGCCAGCUCCAAAUCCCCUGCGUCUCAGCACUAAAAAUAUCCCCGCCGCCCGGAGCUCUCUCCCCGGCAGAGGCUGUCAUGAGACCCUGCUAUUUACGGGCCACACUGCCGUUCCUGCGGGAAGCAGCGUGAGGACAAAGGAGCUAGGAGGGCAGCACAGUGCCCCGGGCACGCUGUGGGAGACCCGAGCGUGGCUCCGUAGCAGGCUGUCCCAUGCCAGACCCUUGUCACCUCGAUGCCACUCAUCCUGCCGUGUUCACUGAUGGCUGUGCUUGUGUAGUCUUCUCUGCCCCUAAAUACUCGGGGUGGGAGUUUUGCACCUCCGGGGAAUCUCGGGGCUCCGGGGCGGGGAGGUGCCGCUGCUCCUCCACACCGAGCCCGUGGGGAUCUACUCCCCCCCAGGGGUCCCGCGGUGCCGAUUCCACUCCGGAACCAGCCCGUGGCCCAACAGGUCCUCGAGUUCAGCCGUUUCCCAGGCAGGUGCCCCCCUCUCCAUCCCGAGCAUCCACAUCCCAGGCACGGAGCUUCCCGUGCAGCCGCGGGAGCGGUGCCCGGCGCAGCAGGCUGGUCCAGCAGGGACUCGGGGCUGGAAUGGGGGGCCAUGGGUGCUCUGCAAGGGCCACUGCUUGGGUGUCGCCACAGCCCUGCCCGUCCGCUUGGUGCCCUCAUGCCCUCCCGUCCAGCUGACUCCGCGGC